GUAGGAGGCGAGCGUUGUCCGGAUCUAUUGGGCGUAAAGAGCGCGCAGGCGGCACCUCAAGUACGCAGUGAAAUCUCCCUGCUCAACGGGGAGGGUGCAGCGUAAACUGGGGAGCUAGAGGACGGUAGAGGGGGGUAGAAUUGCUGGUGUAGCGGUGAAAUGCGUAGAGAUCAGCAGGAAUACCCGUGGCGAAGGCGGCCCCCUGGGCCGAACCUGACGCUGAGGCGCGAAGGCUAGGGGAGCGAACGGGAUUAGAUACCCCGGUAGUCCUAGCAGUAAACGAUGGCCACUAGGUGUGGGGGGUGUUGACCCCUUCCGUGCCGAAGCUAACGCAUUAAGUGGCCCGCCUGGGGAGUACGGUCGCAAGACUA
rnacentral:rRNA from 1 species